CGGUCUUUCUAAAAAUGGGAAAAGUAUUAGCUGCAUUAGUGUUCCUUUGUUUUCUGCUAAGCAUUAUUCAAGAAAUUUAUGGUGAUUGUGUUGGCUUGUGUGGUUUUUUCUUCGGGCCCUGUCCAAGUGGCUCAUACUGCGACUUUAGGUAUUAUGAGAAUGGGAAAUGCUGUUCAGACGAUUAGCACUAUUGAGAAGAUAUGAUUAAGAUGGAUGAUAUACGCAGACAUAAAAGAGCUUUUUUAUUGUAAGAUUGUACAUUAAUAAAUCACUUUUGCUAAUUAAGAAAUAAUUUCUUGAGCAGAUAAAAUGAUUUCUGAAACUAUAA